rnacentral:rRNA from 1 species
UACGUAGGCAGCGAGCGUUGUUCGGAGUUACUGGGCGUAAAGGGUGUGUAGGCGGUUGUUUAAGUUUGGUGUGAAAUCUCCCGGCUCAACUGGGAGGGUGCGCCGAAUACUGAAUGACUUGGAGUGCGGGAGAGGAGAGUGGAAUUCCUGGUGUAGCGGUGAAAUGCGUAGAUAUCAGGAGGAACACCGGUGGUGUAGACGGCUCUCUGGACCGUAACUGACGCUGAGGCGCGAAAGCGUGGGGGAGCAAAACAGG